rnacentral:rRNA from 1 species
CCCAAGUGCACGCUGACGACUACGCCGCUCGUAGUUUAAAACAUAUGCUAUAAA